CCGGAGCACACGCUCACCACUGAACAUUCUGCCAAAUUUCCUGCGAGCAACAAGGCAGCAGGUGCAGAAGCCUCCAAGGAGCUUCCUAAACAGCUGGUUUGCAUUUCAGCAGAUCUUAGUGCAGUUUCCAAGAUCCAGAAAGCAGAGUCUUCAUUUAUCCUCAGAAAUUGUUUCCUUCCCAAAGGAUACAUUAUGUCAUUGGUUUUAAAGUGGAAAUACUAAUCAAAGUAAAGGGAAAUUUCUGCUUGAAAGUUCUUUAUGUAACACAGCCAAUGACAGGGAUUAAAAAAUAGUUGCACCGGACUGAGCCUGACCUUUCCCUAUGUGUCUCAAAGAUCUUGGUUUAUGUUUUCCCUGUCUGUUUUCUUGAGAUAUAAGGAACUGCUCCAGUCUCACGAGGAAUGAAGAUUUGAAGUUGAUACGAAAUAUCAAUUAUUGUUUGAAUGAAUUUGGCUUAUUUUAUAAUAAUUAGUGGUUGCUACGACAACUGAGUUUCACUAAUCCAAGUACUCCAGGAGCGCCUCACACUUCAAACUAAGGAUAGUUCUCACAGCCUUAGUGUAGUGACUGCUGUGGAAGCCGAUGGUCCCCAGGUGCAUUGAAGGGGACAUCCUUGGAGAACAUGUCCUUUGGUGCCACAUGAAGCAACUAAAUAUGCAGGCACAAGCAUUCCAUUGGUGGCUUGAAGGCCAGAAGCAUUUAAUGUGGCAGAAAAUUAGAGCUUGGCUAACUCAACGGAUGUAGGACACCGAGUUCUUGUAUCCAGUAUUUCUCUACUAGCGGCCCUACUAGAGCUCUACCUUCCAGUUGGCUUUGGAUUUAUGCCAACGUCAAACUGCUUCAUACACAUGAUUUGGUCCUGCCUGCAUUACCACCAGCAUGGUCGGUUUUGCACUGCUGGUAAGAUUUGCCAAGUAGGUGAUAUAUCCCCAAAGGUUACAAUACAGAGAUCUGAUUUAAAGCAUUUGGAAGUCACUGAAUCUCUGUAACACCUAGGAGCCAGGACUAAAUUUUUUUAAAAAAACUUUAUUUCUGUGCAAUGUACCACAGAGAAAAGAAUAGAUAAGGAAUAUAACUAUACUCACUGUGUCUUUU
ensembl:lncRNA